rnacentral:rRNA from 1 species
GAUGAACGCUGGCGGCGUGCCUAAUACAUGCAAGUCGAGCGGACAGACGUGGUGCUUGCUCCUCUGACGUUAGCGGCGGACGGGUGAGUACCCCGUGGAUAACCUACCUAUAAGACUAGGAUAACUUCUGGCAACCGGAGCUAGUACCGGAUAAUAUAUUCAACCGCAUGGUUCAAUAGUGACAGACUGGUUUGCUGUCACUUCUAGAUGGAUCCGCGCCGCAUUAGCUAGUGGGUAAGGUAACGGCUUACCAAGGCAACGAUGCGUAGCCGACCUGGGAGGGUGAUCGGCCACACUGGAACUGAGACACGGGCCAGACUCCGACGGGGAGAAGCAGUAGGGAAUCUUCCGAGAUGGGAGAAAGCUUGACGGAGCAACGCCGCGUGAGUGAUGAAGGUCUUCGGAUCGGAAGACUCUGUGAUUAGGGAAGAACAAAUGUGUAAGUAACUAUGCACGUCUUGACGGUACCUAAUCAGAAAGCCACGGCUAACUACGUG